UCCGUAGGUGAACCUGCGGAAGGAUCAUUAUCGAGUUUGAAAGGGGUUUGCAGCUGGCUCUCCGGAGUAUGUGCUCGCCUCGCUCAUCCACUCUACACCUGUGCACUAUCUGUGGGCUGGGGUUAACGCCUUGGGCUACGUCUUCACACAAACAAUAUGUAUCAGAAUGCAACACCGCGUCUAACGCAAUAAUACAACUUUCAACAACGGAUCUCUUGGCUCUCGCAUCGAUGAAGAACGCAGCGAAAUGCGAUAAGUAAUGUGAAUUGCAGAAUUCAGUGAAUCAUCGAAUCUUUGAACGCACCUUGCGCUCCUUGGUAUUCUGAGGAGCAUGCCUGUUUGAGCGUCGUGAAUCUCUCAACCCACAAAUUGUUUGUUCAGUUUGUGCGGCUUGGACUUGGAGGCAUUGCUGGCGAUGGUCAGCUCCUCUCAAAUGUAUUAGCUGGGCUUAGCUCGGUGGAACGGUUAGUGUGAUAAUUAUCUGCGCUGCCUACUACAUCGGAUCCCGCAUCUAAUCGUCCGCAAGGACAAUUCACUUUGAAUCUGACCUCAAAUCAG
rnacentral:rRNA from 1 species